GCCUGGGUGGCUCAGUCGGUUGAGCGUCCGACUUCGGCUCAGGUCAUGAUCUCACAGCUCGUGAGUUCGAGCCCCGCAUCGGGCU
rfam:Felis catus isolate Cinnamon breed Abyssinian chromosome A1, whole genome shotgun sequence.